CCAUACAGUUUUAUGAAAUGCUGGUUUACGCCAUCUAUAUUUGCUAGUCUUGCUUUUGUAGAAGGCCUUGUCAAGCUUAUCCUUUUCAAUGUUUGGUCGCCACAGACUGCAUAUUCGAGAUCCACGAAGGAUUCCUAUGGGUAGAUUCAAGCCCCAACGGCCUCCACAUGACUGAAUACAAGCCAUAAGAAGAAAUGCUUCUCUUGCCAAGUCCUUUUCCUUCAUUGAGCUAGUGCAAAUAUCACAGUUUCCACAAUCAUCAUGGGCAUACUCAUCUGCAAAGUAAUCCAACAAAUAUUUUCUUCUACAAGUUGACAGCAUGCAGUAAUGUUGUGCAGCAGAAAAUGCUUCCGUAAUAGCUUUUCUUUGAGAUGCUGAA
rnacentral:misc_RNA from 1 species